AAUAAGUGUAAUUGUAGGUUUUAGCGCUCAACUUUGACCAUUCGUCUUAUUUGAAAUAUUUUUGUGAUUAGUAUUUUUAUUGUUAUUAGAUGAUAAAAUAUGAAUAGUACUUUAUGUUUGACUUAACUUUUUUUUAAAAAAAAUUCAUAAAGUUUUCAAAUAAAACGAACGGUCAAAACGUUAGGCACGAGAAGUUGGGAACUUAUGGCUGCACUUAUA
rfam:Oryza rufipogon genomic scaffold, chr08